UUUCCUAAAUUCUCCAGAGCAACCAGAAUCCCAGGCGGACGCGGGAAACUUUGCGGGGUGUAAAGAAAAAGGGGACUGAAGCCAGGAGGGGGAAAGAGAGAAUCGGACGGAAGGGGGUAAGUCCAAUCUUGUUUUUUUCUGCGGUUCAAAUGCCAUAUUAUCUGCUUGCUGAUUCUGUUUUUUCUGAUGUGUGUGAAAGGGAAAGAAACGCUCUAUGCAAUGAAGAACUUGCUUUGCUUGAUGUUUAAUCGAGAGGCAUACUUUAAACUGCCUCUCGAAGAAAUAAUGGUUGAGGGACAGGUAUUGUUGUUUAUGGUAGACUCUGGAUGCAACUAACUCUGUCAUACGCAAAGAUGAAUUCCCAUUUGUCACCUUGAGUGGGCAGUUUAACUCAUCUAUGAGUGCUACGGGGCAUAUAGUGAGGGAAGAAUUUACUGCUCCACUCUGUUGUAUGCAUGACGGUAACGAGUUUAUGCAUAUGUUCCUCUUAUCUGACGCGUGUCUGGUAAACCUCAUGGGGAGGGAUUUGAUGUGUAAAAUUAAUGCUAGCAUCUUAUGUAACAACCAAGGCCUGAAUAUUUCUUGUUGGGAUCCCAGAAUGUCAUCUAUAUGUAUGUCUCUGUCUGUAUAUGUGUAUGAAUGGGCCUUUCUGAAUGAAGAGUUGCAUGCUGAAGGGAAGAUAAGAUUGCCACAAGCCAGCGAGGUCAUUCCAGCUGAAAACAUGCAUUGCACAAGCUCAUGUUGUUGACAUAACAGAAAGAGAGUGGCAAGAGAGAUGGUUUUCUGUAAAGACAGAGGGUUUUGACUUUAACCCAUAUAUGCUGGAAUGACUCAUGGUGUGUGGCACUCGUUCAGUUGACAGGAAAGCAGGAACAAAUUUUUGAUUUUGACAAUUCAGUACCCCACAUCUCCAUUGCAAAAAAUACUAGUCAGCCGUUAGAAAUGCAGGUGAAUUUGCAAAGGCCUGCAGCGAGGCUGUUGAUUGGGAACCAUUGGCAGAUAGCAUACAGUUCUCAGAGCAGUUAUCAGCACACAGAAGAGAUUAUGCUGCUUUUUCAUGGCUGAGAGAGUUGUAAUACAGAAAGCUGUUUCUGCAGAUUUCAACUCACAAAACAGUUUGUCAGUACACAUGACGUGUGCUAGUAUUGAUUUACCGCAAAAAGUUCUUGACAAUGUACCUGAUUACCUGUGGGCUAAAGACAAGUAUGAUGUGGGCUUGAUUAAAGGGUGUGAACCAGUAACUAUCACCCCAAAGAGUGAUUAUAGACCAUGUAAACCCCAAUAUCCUCUGAAAAGGGAGGCGCUUGAGGGGAUAAGGCCAGUAUUUUAGGCAUUAUUGGGAUAAUUAUUCCCUGCCCACACUCACCUGUGAGAACACCCAUUUUUCCUGUACAAAAGGUCAGGGAUGCAGGUCAGCCCACAGAGUGGAGGUUUGUUCAAGAUCUCCAAGCAGGAAAUGCUGUGGUACAAGCAAGAGCACCUCACGUGCCAAACCCUUACACAAUUCUCUGACAGAUACCAGCUGAUGGCCAGUGGUUUUCAGUGUAGUGGAUAUUUCAAGUGCAUUUUCCAGAGUUCCUGUCCAUUCUAAUAGCCAGUUUUGGUUUGAUUUUACAUUUAAGGGGUACAGCGAGAGCCGCACUAUUUACAAACCCUGCAUUGCAUUGUUCAUUAAAGAAACUUGUGUUGGAUGAUGAUGUUGCUUUAUUGCAGUACGUGGAUGACCUCUUGGUGCCAGCACCGACUCAGCAGUCGUGCACAGCCAACACCAUACGGCUGCUCACUCAUCUAGCUGAGGAGGGCCACAAGGCCAACCCCAAAAAGGUACAGUGCUCUGUCCAGAAAGUAACCUUUCUAGGACAUGAAAUUACACCUAUGGGUAAGUCUCUCUCUCCAAAGAGAAUAGAGGCAAUAGCUAACAUACCAAAACCCAUUACAAAGAAACAGGUGAUGUCAUUCUUGGGUAUGACAUCUUAUUGCAGGACUUUUAUUGCUAACUAUUCUGAGAUGCAACAACCAUUGCAUGAUAUGAUUUAUGAGAAACCUUUGGCACCAUCAGAGAAGGUAGAAUGGACAGAGAAGGCUGAAAAGGCAUUUGUGGAACUAAAACAGACAUUACAGCAGGCACCCACUUUAGGUUUGCCAGACCCGAAAAAGCCUUUUGUUCAAACUGUGGAUGAAAGAAAUGGCUGUAUGACCUCUGUUUUGUUACAAGAGCAUGGUGACAAGUUGAGACCAGUUGCGUAUUUUUCAGGACGCCUUGAUGCGGUGGCCAGGGGCCUACCAGGAUGUCUCAGGGCAGUGGCAGCUGCAGAGAAAGCUGUGCAAGCGAGCAGUGAGUUUGUGGGGUAUGCACAGCUACGACUGUUGGUCUCACAUACUGCUCGAACAGCGCACAUCUCACUUGUCUGCAGCAAGGUGGCUGCGUUAUUCCUGUGCAUUGUUACAAAUGUCUAAUGUCACAGUUGAAAGAUGUACAGUUCUUAACCCGGCGACAUUGUUACCUACACCUGAUGAAGGUACACCACAUUGCUGUUUGUCUGCCCUACGGGAAGUAUGUACACCAAGACCAGACCUUACUGACACACCCAUACCUAAUUGCACCCUGACAUAUUAUGUGGAUGGGUCCUCUUCCAGAGAUGACAGAGGCAUAAAUAGGAUGGGGUGGGCAGUUGUGUCUGACUUUGAAGUAGUGAAAUCCGGAUGCUUACCACCUCACAAAUCUGCACAGGUGGCUUAAUUGCAUGCACUAACACAAGCUUGUAAAAUUGCUACUAAUCAAUCUAUAACCAUUUACAUUGACUGCUGAUUUUACUGACAGUUUCUCUCCUAUAACAAAUUUUACUCCUUUCUCAAAUAGCUGUGUGCAAAUGCAAAGCACACACCAAGGAACAGGACGUGAUCUCCAGAGGAAAUGCACGCACGGAUGCGGAAGCAUCUCUCAUGACUGCUAACAAAAACUUUCUCUUACACAGAUUUCCCAGGAAAAGGAAGCCGAAACACCACAGGAGUUACUAAUAAGCAUGCAAACAUUUUCUCUUCCAACAGAAAUAGCUCUAUGGAAAUCGUGUGGAGCAACCAAAACUCCUGAAGGGAUUUGGAUGGGUCCAAAUCAAAAAUGUUACACAACAUCAAACCAGGGGAUUACGUGGUGGUAAAGAACCUCAGGAGGAAAUCCUGGAAAGCCAGACGGUGGGAGGGGCCAUUUCAGGUUCUGCUGACGACUCACACCGCUGUGAAGGUCGCGGAGCGUGCCACCUGGGUGCACGUUGCCCAUUGCCGGAGGGUUGGUCCUGGACUGCAAGGUGUAAACCAAAGGGAGGACGGCUAGUCGACUGCUACGGACCACUUUUUCGUAUUGGUGGGAACCACAGAUACCUGUAUACUGCAAGUUUAUACGAAGAACGACACGAGAGAACUGCAACAGCUCACAAAGUAUUGGAGGACGACUCCAGUAUUCUGGGUUUGGUUUGGACACAUGCACACGACAUCUUUAAUGAUAGCUUGGCACGACUGCACCGUGUGGUCCUACCAAACCCGAACCUACAAAGGAAAUUAAUCAACAAGGGCUCACGACCCCAACUCUAACUGUGCUCAGGGCUCACGACCCCAACUCUAACUGUGCUCAGGGCUCACGACCCCAACUCUAACUGUGCUCAAUCCGGAAUCAUCAAGGGCUCACGACCCCAACUCUAACUGUGCUCAAUUUCUUCAAGAAAACGAACUAUUUUUCUUCUUUCAAAAAUGAGAUUCAUGAUCAUACUAUGUGUGUGUGCAUUUUUACUUUUGCAACUGCACAGAACUAUAUGUACACUAUGGUUAAGGGUAAUAACCAGAGCUACGUAACGAUGACAGUAAAUGAAGUUAUGAAUAAAUCAUAAAAAGGGA